rnacentral:lncRNA from 1 species
UGGGGGUCUUGGGAGCUGCGUAUAUUCUGAGGCUGGAGGAGGGGGGCCUGCAGAUACAUUCUGGUAGUGUACAUCUGAAUUUUGAUGGUCAUCUGUUGAAAAAAAUCACAUGGACCAGGCUGUGUUGAGACCAUCACUGCUGUCUCUUCAUUUUGGCAAAACUGUGCUCAGAUGUGAUGGCAUCAUAAUGAUCAAACGAAUUAAUAAAUAAGAAUAUAAAAAUUUCCCCUCAGUGAUUUAUUACAUUCAGAUUGAAGAAGAG